rnacentral:rRNA from 1 species
AUUGAACGCUGGCGGCAGGCCUAACACAUGCAAGUCGAGCGGGGUUUUCGGACCUAGCGGCGGACGGGUGAGUAACGCGUAGGAAGCUGCCCGAUAGAGGGGGAUACCAGUUGGAAACGACCGUUAAUACCGCAUAAUGUCUACGGACCAAAGUGUGGGACCUUCGGGCCACAUGCUAUCGGAUGCGCCUACGUGGGAUUAGCUAGUUGGUAGGGUGAAGGCCUACCAAGGCUGCGAUCCAUAGCUGGUCUAAGAGGAUGAUCAGCCACACUGGGACUGAGACACGGCCCAGACUCCUACGGGAGGCAGCAGUGGGGAAUAUUGGACAAUGGGCGGAAGCCUGAUCCAGCAAUACCGCGUGUGUGAAGAAGGCCCGAGGGUUGUAAAGCACUUUCAAUGGGGAGGAAAAAGGGUUGGUUAAUACCCGGCCUAUUGACAUUACCCAUAGAAGAAGCACCGGCUAACUCCGUGCCAGCCGCCGCUGUAAUAC